rnacentral:rRNA from 1 species
UUGUGAGGUUAAGCGACUAAGCGUACACGGUGGAUGCCCUGGCAGUCAGAGGCGAUGAAGGACGUGCUAAUCUGCGAUAAGCGUCGGUGAGGUGAUAUGAACCGUUAUAACCGGCGAUUUCCGAAUGGGGAAACCCAGUGUGUUUCGACACACUAUCAUUAACUGAAUCCAUAGGUUAAUGAGGCGAACCGGGGGAACUGAAACAUCUAAGUACCCCGAGGAAAAGAAAUCAACCGAGAUUCCCCCAGUAGCGGCGAGCGAACGGGGAGGAGCCCAGAGCCUGAAUCAGUGUGUGUGUUAGUGGAAGCGUCUGGAAAGGCGCGCGAUACAGGGUGACAGCCCCGUACACAAAAAUGCACAUAUUGUGAGCUCGAUGAGUAGGGCGGGACACGUGGUAUCCUGUCUGAAUAUGGGGGGACCAUCCUCCAAGGCUAAAUACUCCUGACUGACCGAUAGUGAACCAGUACCGUGAGGGAAAGGCGAAAAGAACCCCGGCGAGGGGAGUGAAAAAGAACCUGAAACCGUGUACGUACAAGCAGUGGGAGCCUCUUAAUGGGGUGACUGCGUACCUUUUGUAUAAUGGGUCAGCGACUUAUAUUCUGUAGCAAGGUUAACCGAAUAGGGGAGCCGAAGGGAAACCGAGUCUUAACUGGGCGUUAAGUUGCAGGGUAUAGACCCGAAACCCGGUGAUCUAGCCAUGGGCAGGUUGAAGGUUGGGUAACACUAACUGGAGGACCGAACCGACUAAUGUUGAAAAAUUAGCGGAUGACUUGUGGCUGGGGGUGAAAGGCCAAUCAAACCGGGAGAUAGCUGGUUCUCCCCGAAAGCUAUUUAGGUAGCGCCUCGUGAAUUCAUCUCCGGGGGUAG